GACAUAAUUAUUUUCUAUGUUACGGCCAUAGAGUUGAUGAAUGUUUCAUCUUAUGUUU
rnacentral:tRNA from 1 species